AGCGGCGAACGGGUGAGAAACACGUAGGUGAUCUGCCCAUCAGACGGGGACAACGAUUGGAAACGAUCGCUAAUACCGGAUAGGACGAAAGUUUAAAGGUGCUUCUGGCACCGCUGAUGGAUGAGCCUGCGGCGCAUUAGCUAGUUGGUAGGGUAAAGGCCUACCAAGGCGACGAUGCGUAGCCGACCUGAGAGGGUGAACGGCCACACUGGGACUGAGACACGGCCCAGACUCCUACGGGAGGCAGCAGUAGGGAAUCUUCGGCAAUGGGCGAAAGCCUGACCGAGCAGCGCCGCGUGAAUGAUGAAGGCCUUCGGGUUGUAAAAUUCUGUUAUAAGGGAAGAACGACUUCAGUAGGAAAUGGCUAGAGUGUGACGGUACCUUAUGAGAAAGCCACGGCUAACUACGUGCCAGCAGCCGCGGUAAUACGUAGGUGGCGAGCGUUAUCCGGAAUUAUUGGGCGUAAAGAGCGCGCAGGUGGUUGAUUAAGUCUGAUGCGAAAGCCCACGGCUUAACCGUGGAGGGUCAUUGGAAACUGGUCGACUUGAGUGCAGAAGAGGGAAGUGGAAUUCCAUGUGUAGCGGUGAAAUGCGUAGAGAUAUGGAGGAACACCAGUGGCGAAGGCGGCUUCCUGGUCUGUAACUGACACUGAGGCGCGAAAGCGUGGGGAGCAAACAGGAUUAGAUACCCUAUCAUCCACGCCGUAAACGAGUGA
rnacentral:rRNA from 1 species